rnacentral:rRNA from 1 species
UUGAUCCUGGCUCAGGAUGAACGCUAGCGGCAGGCCUAACACAUGCAAGUCGAGGGGUAACAGUCCAGAGCGAUCUGGAGCUGACGACCGGCGCACGGGUGAGUAACGCGUAUGCAACUUUCCUCUAACAGAGAGAUAGCCCGAAGAAAUUCGGAUUAAUAUCUCAUAACAUCAUGAAAUCGCAUGGUUUUAUGAUUAAAGCUCCGGCGGUUAGAGAUGGGCAUGCGUGACAUUAGUUAGUUGGUGAGGUAACGGCUCACCAAGGCAACGAUGUCUAGGGGUUCUGAGAGGAUGAUCCCCCACACUGGUACUGAGACACGGACCAGACUCCUACGGGAGGCAGCAGUGAGGAAUAUUGGGCAAUGGACGCAAGUCUGACCCAGCCAUGCCGCGUGCAGGAUGACGGCCCUACGGGUUGUAAACUGCUUUUGUACGAGAAGAAUUCUCUUGACGUGUCAGGGGUUGACGGUAUCGUACGAAUAAGCAUCGGCUAACUCCGUGCCAGCAGACGAGGUAAUACGGAGGAUGCAAGCGUUAUCCGGAUUUAUUGGGUUUAAAGGGUGCGUAAGCGGGAUAUUAAGUCAGUGGUGAAAUCCUGCAGACUUAACUGUAGAACUGCCAUUGAUACUGAUA